UGUGACACAAAGAACUUUUGGCUAGAGCCUGGUGAUGUAGAAGUGCUAAACCAUGGGAUUUAAUGAGAAAAGUUAAGGCUUGCCUGCAGGAAGUUCUGAGCAUUCUUUCUUGCUGCGUCGAGGAUGAAGAUCACAGUUUGACCACAAAUCAGAUGCAGUUCAAUCAUCAUCCUCUGUGACAAAUCUUCUUAAACUGUGGGGUUGCAUAACUGAAUGUUGAGGCCAUUAA